GGGGGUUUAGCCCAGCGGAAGGGCGCCCGCUUGGCGCGCGCAAGGCCCUGGGUUCGGUUCCCAGCCCCG
rnacentral:tRNA from 1 species